UACGUAGGGACCAAGCGUUGUUCGGAUUUACUGGGCAUAAAGGGCGCGUAGGCGGCAAUUCAAGUCAUCUGUGAAAUCUCCGGGCUUAACCCGGAACGGUCAGAUGAUACUGCUUUGCUAGAGUGCGGAAGGGGCAAUCGGAAUUCUCGGUGUAGCGGUGAAAUGCGUAGAUAUCGAGAGGAACACCAGAGGUGAAGACGGGUUGCUGGGCCGACACUGACGCUGAUAGCGCGAAAGCCAGGGGAGCAAACGGG
rnacentral:rRNA from 1 species